rnacentral:rRNA from 1 species
CCUACGGGUGGCAGCAGUAGGGAAUUUUCGUCAAUGGGCGCAAGCCUGAACGAGCAAUGCCGCGUGAACGAGGAAGGUCUUCGGAUCGUAAAGUUCUGUUGAAGGGGAAAAAGAGCGGAGAGAGGAAAUGCUUUCUGAUUGAUAUUACCCUUAGAGGAAGUCUCGGCUAACUACGUGCCAGCAGCCGCGGUAAUACGUAGGUGGCGAGGGUUAUCCGGUAUGAUUGGGCGUAAGGGGUGCGUAGGGGGCCUGCUAAGUCUGGAGGGAAGGGUACCGGCUCAACCGGUACAGGCUCUGGAAACUGGCGGGCUAGAGAGCAGGGGAGGGCGGUGGAACUCGAUGUGUAGCGGUAAAAUGCGUAGAUAUAUGGAAGAACACCAGUGGCGAAGGCGGCCGCCUAGGCUGUUACUGACGCUGAGGCACGAAAGCGUGGGGAGCAAAUAGGAUUAGAUACCCUUGUAGUC